UGUACAUCCAACAGCAAAGACAAAACUUACAGAAAAGAACAAUAGUGAAGAAAAAACAGAGUGGAUGAUGAAUCUCAGUAUAUCUGUAGCCAUUUUUUCAUUGGUGGUGGUUGUUAUUGUUUCAGUUUCAAAAUGUUGCAGAAAAAUACUGGAAAACAAAAAAAGUGCAAUUAAAGAAAGAAUUACAGAAAAACGCCAGAAAAUUUCACACGAAAGAAAAACUAACCUCUAUGGUACAAAUGGAAGACAAAAAAUCGCCAAUGAUGAUGAAAAGUAUGAAUUCGAUAGUGACAACUACGCCGAAGACCCGUAUGCAAUGAUCCGGGACUCUCAAAUUCUUCCUGAAACAUCUCUUGUUAGUAACGACCAGAAUGCAAACUUUUCACUUGUAAGUAACCAUCUGGAUGCAAACUUUUACACAAGUGGUUACAAUCAUCUAAAUUUGAUGGGGAUAUCCUACAAACAUGGAAAUCAACACGACAAGAGGCGUAGUUAUUCGCGAGAUGUCAA